rnacentral:rRNA from 1 species
UUUCCGGUUGAUCCUGCCGGAGGUUACUGCUAUCGGUGUUCGCCUAAGCCAUGCGAGUCAUAUGUAGCAAUACAUGGCGUACUGCUCAGUAACACGUGGAUAACCUACCCUCAGGACGGGGACAACCCCGGGAAACUGGGGCUAAUACCAGAUAGGUGAGGAUGCCUGGAAUGGUUUCUCACUCAAAGGGCUUUGGAAACAUGCUUCCACUGUCGCCUGAGGAUGGGGCCGCGACCGAUCAGGUUGUUGGUGAGGUAAUGGCUCACCAAGCCUUUAACCGGUACGGGCCGUGAGAGCGGUAGCCCGGAGAUGGGUACUGAGACAAGGACCCAGGCCCUACGGGGCGCAGCAGUCGCGAAAACUCCGCAAUGCACGCAAGUGUGACGGGGCUACCCCGAGUGCCGUCCGCUGAGGAUGGCUUUUCCUUGGUUUAACUAGCCAGGGGAAUAAGGAGAGGGCAAGACUGGUGUCAGCCGCCGCGGUAAUACCAGCUCUCCGAGUGGUAGGGAUGAUUAUUUGGCUUAAAGCGUCCGUAGCCGGCUUAGCAAGUCUCCUGUUAAAUUCAGCGACCUAAUCGUUGAGCCGCGGGAGAUACUACUAGGCUAGGAGGCGGGAGAGGUCGACGGUACUUCUGGGGUAGGGGUGAAAUCCUAUAAUCCCGGGAGGACCACCAGUGGCGAAGGCUGUUGACUAGAACGCGCUCGACGGUGAGGGACGAAAGCUGGGGGAGCAAACCGGAUUAGAUACCCGGGUAGUCCCAGCUGUAAACGAUGCGGGCUAGGUGUUGGGGUGGCUACGUGCCACUUCAGUGCCGCAGGGAAGCCAUUAAGCCCGCCGCCUGGGGAGUACGGCCGCAAGGCUGAAACUUAAAGGAAUUGGCGGGGGAGCACCACAAGGCGUGAAGCUUGCGGUUCAAUUGGAGUCAACGCCGG